UCUAGUCAUUGAAAAAUGCCAAAAAAAGUUUUCCUUCGUUGAAUGAAUAUGUUUUCAUGAUUUAAAGUGAGGAUGUUUGCAAUCAUUGCAACAAUGAUGUAUAUACGGAAACUUUUAUGUUGUCAUCAAAUAAUUGUUUAAUUAGUUAAUUUGUUCUCUUCCUAGUACUUCACUGCAACUGAAAGGUAAUGGUUUAGCUCCUUUCUAUUAUUGAAAACUGGUUCCCAUUCACCUCAUAAUUUUGUUGGUUUACCACGAGCAAGACUCUUUAAUUUUUUAGUGUGUAGAAGGCUACAACUCGUGAGAUUUUCGAGUUCAGUGCUGAACUCUGUAAUUCUAUAGGGAUAGGACACAACAUGCUGCUUAAUUCUGCACAGUUUCUGCUCUUUACUUGCCUGUUAAUAUAUAUUUACUUUGAACAACUUCAGGGUGUAUUCACCGGCAACUGUGGGACUGCAUUAGAUCACGGUGUGAAUGUGGUUGGAUACGGUACAGCAAACGGUAAGGAUUAUUGGAUCGUCAGGAACUCAUGGGGUGCAGAGUGGGGGGAGGAUGGCUACAUCAGGAUGGAGCGUAAUGUCAAAGCAAACUCAGGCCUAUGUGGCAUCACCAGUGAGCCCUCUUACCCUGUCAAGAAAGGCCCAAAUCCUCCCAAUCCUGGUCCUUCCCCUCCAUCUCCAAUCAAGCCUCCGGCAGCCUGUGAUAAUUACUAUGAAUGCCCACAGGACAACACCUGCUGCUGCGUCUACGAGUUCUAUGGCUCGUGCUUCGAAUGGGGAUGCUGCCCUCUAGAAGGUGCCGUAUGCUGUGAAGACCACUACAGCUGCUGCCCCCACGAUUACCCCGUUUGCCAUGUUCAGUCAGGCACUUGCUCACUUGUAAGUAAAUGCUGUCAUUUAACUUGUCCUUAGAUAAUUUUCUUGCAGAUACACCGAGUUUUAUCUUUGCUUAUAAAACCAACUUUCUUGUUUUAACACAGAGCAAGGACAACCCUCUUGGAGUGAAGGUUAUGAAGCACAUGCUUGCUAGGCCUAUUAAGAGCAUGAAGUCAGGCACGGAAGGAAUGAAGAGCAGCUCUUAAAAAGACCUGAUGACCAAUCUGUAAGUGGUGGAUAAAGGAAAGGAAAGGCAGAGGUUUAUCACCCUGUUUUCCAUAGAGGCCUCUAGUCCACCACUGAAGUUACAGAAUCCGAUUGAUGAUUGAUUAAAGAUGAUUAGACGGUCAUCUGUAUAUAGGCUUUAAAUAUCUAUCUAAAACUUCUAUUCGAGCAAACAGAACAAGUAGAACAUUCAUC
rnacentral:lncRNA from 1 species